AUUCAGCGGCGGACGGGUGAGUAAUGCCUAGGAAUCUGCCCGAUAGUGGGGGACAACNUUUCGAAAGGAGCGCUAAUACCGCAUACGUCCUACGGGAGAAAGUGGGGGAUCUUCGGACCUCACGCUAUCGGAUGAGCCUAGGUCGGAUUAGCUAGUUGGUGAGGUAAUGGCUCACCAAGGCGACGAUCCGUAACUGGUCUGAGAGGAUGAUCAGUCACACUGGAACUGAGACACGGUCCAGACUCCUACGGGAGGCAGCAGUGGGGAAUAUUGGACAAUGGGCGAAAGCCUGAUCCAGCCAUGCCGCGUGUGUGAAGAAGGUCUUCGGAUUGUAAAGCACUUUAAGUUGGGAGGAAGGGCUGUCGGCUAAUACCCUGCAGUUUUGACGUUACCAACAGAAUAAGCACCGGCUAACUUCGUGCCAGCAGCCGCGGUAAUACGAAGGGUGCAAGCGUUAAUCGGAAUUACUGGGCGUAAAGCGCGCGUAGGUGGUUCAGCAAGUUGGAUGUGAAAGCCCCGGGCUCAACCUGGGAACUGCAUCCAAAACUACUGAGCUAGAGUACGGUAGAGGGUGGUGGAAUUUCCUGUGUAGCGGUGAAAUGCGUAGAUAUAGGAAGGAACACCAGUGGCGAAGGCGACCACCUGGACUGAUACUGACACUGAGGUGCGAAAGCGUGGGGAGCAAACAGGAUUAGAUACCCUGGUAGUCCACGCCGUAAACGAUGUCAACUAGCUGUUGGGUUCCUUGAGAACUUAGUAGCGAAGCUAACGCGAUAAGUUGACCGCCUGGGGAGUACGGCCGCAAAGGUUAAAAACUCAAAUGAAUUGACGUGG
rnacentral:rRNA from 1 species